UGGUGCCAUGCAAAAGCAGCCAGAGCACUCACUCCUGUGGCUACUGAGCCCCUGGAAAGGCUUGGCGGUGCUCUGGAGCCUGGUUUCCACAGCGGUGGACAGCGCCCUCGUCUUCUGGCGGACUGUCUGGGCUGCUCUGCUCUUUUACAAGCUUUUCUGGGAAGUCAUCUUCCAGUUGGUGCAGGAGGGCUGCUCCUCGGUGUCUUCGUGGCUGGAGGAGGCCGGAGAGGUCACCCAGGGGGACAAGACCCUCUCCUCACCGCCAGAGAGUCCCCGGCCCUGGGAGACAGGAGCUGAGCGGCAUCUGGAGGCGCAGGUGAUGCGGCUGCAGGCGUCCAGCAACGUGGCUUUGGGCCGCCUCUCUGCCCUGGAGUCAGGAGUCCGGUACCUGAGCCAGGAGCUGCGGGCUGAGAGGCUCUUGUGGAGCAGCCGCUACCUGGAGCUCCUGCGAGAGCAGCAAGGCCUGGCUGUGCAGUUGCAAAGACAGGAGCAAAGGCUGUGGUCGUCAAACUUGGAAGGAUUGAGUGAAGCCCCCCAGGAGAUGCUGCGCCAGAGUUGGGACCCCCAUGAAGAGGAGGAGGAGGAGGAACAGGAACCAAGCCACCCCACUGUGGGACCUGGACCCAAGUGGGCUGCAAAAGAAUGACUAGCUCCAUGACGUUGCAGAGAACCAUGCCAUUGUUUGGGGAGAACAUUUCGAACGCGUCUCUCCUCUCUCAAAGUCUGGACUAAGACCAGUGGACCAAUCCAAUGAAUAAAGAAAGAGCACUGCACCAAGGUGGACCCAGACUCAAAGCAGGAGGUUCCGCGAUGGUUGUCCGUCCAUGCGCCAGGUGAGGUCCAGGCUGCAACAAACAGGACAGGGCCCAGGGGGAGCCAAAGGCACAUAGAGGAGCAUCAAACUUCACCCGGAAGGCAGAGUGGAACAAAAUUGCAAAUCUGAGUCCUGACAGAUUAGAGCAGGGGUCCCCAAACUAAGGCUCGGGGGCCGGAUGCGGCCCUCCAAGGUCAUUUACCUGGCCCCUGCCCUCAUUUAUAAUAUAAUAUUUUAUAUCAGUUUUAAUAAUAUAAUGUAUUGUAUAUACAUAUGAUAUUGAUAAUAUUAUCAUUUUAUACAGUAUAAUACUAAUAAUAAUACCAUAUAAUAAUAUUAAUUAUAUGUUAUAUAUUACAUAUAAUAUUACAGUAUAGUGGUAUAGUUCAAUAUAGUAAUAUAUAAUGCUAAUAUUGUGCUAUGCUAAUAAUAUAAUAUAUUGUAUGCACAUACAGCUGCUCUGAGUUCUCUUUGGGGUGAGAAGGGUGGGAUAUAAAUGUAGUAAAUGAAUAAAUAAAUAAUUUUGGACUUAGGCUCGCCCAAAGUCUGAAUUGACUUGAAGACACACAACAACAACAAUCCCAAUUAACUUGACUAUCUCAAUGGCCAGAAGGAGGCCCACACUUCCUAUUGAAAUCCUGAUAGGUUUAUGUUGGUUAAAAUUAUUUUCAUUUUUAAAUAUUUUAUUGGUCUUUCAUUGUUAUUGUUGUUGUUUUGGACUACAAAUAAGAUAUGUGCAGUGUGCAUAGGAAUUUGUUCAUUUUUUUUUUCAAAUGAUAAUUCGGCCUCUCAACAGUCUGAAGGAUUGUGGACCGGCCCUCUGCUUUAAAAGUUUGAGAUUAGAGAGCUGAUUGUCCUGGAAACUUGGGACUCAAUGGAGCAAUGGGUUCAACUUCCAGGAAAGGACACCCACCUGAGCUUUAAGAAGAACUUCCUGACUGCAAGAAGAAUGGUUCAGCAGUGGAACUCUCUGCCUUGGAAUGUAGUGGAGGCUUUUAAACAGAGGUUGGAUGGCCAUCUGUCGGGGGUGCUUUGAUUGUGCUUUUCCUGCAUGGCAGAAAGGGAUGGGACUAGUGGCUCAUGCUGUCUCUUCCAACUGUGAUUCCAUGACUGGAGGAAAUGUUCCCACUAUCCCAGAGUAUUCCCAUAGCUAUCCAGGCAACAGGAAAUAAAGGACAACCAAACUACGGCAGGUCUCCAGCCGUGCUUUGGACAAGCCAUUUUGGGU
rnacentral:lncRNA from 1 species